ensembl:lncRNA
CCGGGACCCAAACUUGGCCGAUCGUUGGCAAAGUCCAGACCUUGGCUUAUUCCUUUGGGCAGCGGACACAGCUGAACGCAAUCAGCGCUGCUUUCAGGAGCUCCUCCUGCCUCCAGGAUACAAACAGCAGCCGGGUGUCCUCAGACGUGGGAUGUCUCCCCAGCACCACCACGUUGACGGUGCCUUCCAAAGCUAUAGCCCGGAGUGCCCUUGUGCUGGGAGCAAGCUCUGCAGCGCCAGCUGGACAGACAGCCAAGGACAGCCAUCCUCCCCAUCUCCUUGUGGUCUCUGUCCAGGACAGGUCAAGCUCAGGCGCUAAAACCGGAACGGCUGUGAUUGUGCUAUUUGAUAAAGGCAGAUGCCCAUAGAGCCUCUGCAAGUGGAUGAUGCUUUUGGGAUCUCCAAAGUGCACACAGAUGCACACAGGAAAUACAGCGUGCGAGGCAUGAGAUACGGGACGUGAAAGAUGGAACACAGGAUGCAGAAUGUAGGAUGCAGAAUAUGGGAUGAGGAAGAUGGGAUGUGCAACACAGGAGGCGCAGUUGCUU